GGGAAUGUAGCUUAGUGGCAGAGUGCUUGUCUAGCAUGCAUGAAGCCCUGGGUUCAAUUCCUCAGUACCA
rnacentral:tRNA from 1 species